rnacentral:rRNA from 1 species
UGGCUCAGGAUGAACGCUAGCGACAGGCCUAACACAUGCAAGUCGAGGGGCAGCACAAGGAGCAAUCUGAGGUGGCGACCGGCGCACGGGUGAGUAACACGUAUGCAACCUGCCUGUAAGCGGGGAAUAACCCGUUGAAAGACGGACUAAUACCGCAUAAUACUAAAUUACUGCAUGGUAAUUUAUUUAAACAUUUAUGGCUUACAGAUGGGCAUGCGCAUGAUUAGCUAGUUGGAGAGGUAACGGCUCCCCAAGGCAACGAUCAUUAGGGGUUCUGAGAGGAAGGUCCCCCACACUGGUACUGAGACACGGACCAGACUCCUACGGGAGGCAGCAGUGAGGAAUAUUGGUCAAUGGACGAGAGUCUGAACCAGCCAAGUCGCGUGCAGGAAGAAUUGUCCUAUGGAUUGUAAACUGCUUUUGCAGGGGAAUAAAGUGCAUCACGUGUGAUGUUUUGUAUGUACUCUGCGAAUAAGGAUCGGCUAACUCCGUGCCAGCCGCGGC